rnacentral:lncRNA from 1 species
UGUUGAUUACAUUUUAAUUUUAUGGAUUUUUAGAUAAGGUCACACCUCUUGUAUAUGAUAAUUUGGGGGGCGUGACAAAGGUGGUAUCGGAGCAUGAUUUAAGGAUUACUAAGAUAUUUGAUUCAUUUGAUGUUCAAAAUUAAAUUGAGGUUUAGUAAAUUAUAUAGAGAUCGAUGAAAAUUAUAUUUGAUGUCUUCUUGGAAUCUAUGAUGACAUCGACAUUUGGUCUUCUUGUAUAUGAAUUGUGGAUUAUGGGUGUGAAUUAUGACUUGAACGAUUUUUGGUGUCCCCAAAUUUAGUUUGUAUUUUGUAUUAGAUUGUUGAUUAAAUUUUAAUAUUAUGGAUUUUAAGACAGGGUCACACCUCCUAAAUGUGAUAAUUCGGGGGGCGUGACAGAGGUGGUAUCAGAACAUUAUUUGAGGAUCACAGUAAGAUAUUUGAUAUAUUUGAUGUGCCAAAUUAUAUUACGAUUUAGUAAAUUAAAUAGAGAGCUAUAAAAAAUUUCUUUGAUAUCUUUUAGGAACCUAGGAUUCUAAGGACAUCUGGUCCUCUUGAGGAAUGAAGUCGGAAAGGUAAUGAAAUCGAAUUUUUAAAUUUUAGAGGAUGGCUUAUUGCGAUUUGGGAUAGAGUGUGUGUUCGAAAUGACCCAAAUUAUGAUUUGAAUAUUAAGAGGAAAUGGCAUGACUCAAUGAUAUCGAUGACUCAUUCAAUAAAUUUAGAAAGGGCAACUAUGAGAAAGGUGGUAUCGGAGCAUGAUUUAAGGAUUACUAAUAUAUUUGAUUCAUUUGAUGUGCAAAAUGAUAUUGAGGUUUAGUAAAAGACAUCUGGUCCUUUUGAGGAAUGAAGUAGGAAAGGUAGUGAAGUCGAAAUUUUAAAUUUUCGAGGAUGGCUUAUUGAGAUUUGGGAUUGAGUGUGUUUUCGAUCUAACCCAAAUUAUAAUUUGAAUAUUAUCAUAAAAGGGUAUGAAUUAAUGAUAUUGAUGGCCUCUAUCUAUGUGCAAUCUGAUCUCUUUCAAUAAAUUUAGAAAUGGUAUCUAAGGGAUACACAUUUAAUCUACUUGAGGAUUGAACUAGAAAAUUGAUUGAAGUCGAAUUUUUAAAUUUUGGACGAUGGCAUUUUGUGUUUUGGGAAAGAGUUUGUGUUCUAAAUGAUCAAAUUAUCAAUAACCAAAUCCUGAAGCAAAGUCAUAAUUCAAAGUAUGUGAUAAUUUGUAUUAUGGAGUUUUAGACAAGGUCACACUUCUUGUAUAUAAUAAUUUGGGGGGCUUGUCAAAAGUGGUAUCGGAGCAUGAUUUAAGAAUUACUAAGAUAUUUGAUUCAUUUUAUGUGAAAAAUUAUAUUGAGGUUUAGUAAAGACAUCUGGUCUUCAUGAGGAAUGAAGUAGGAAAGGUAGUGAAGUCGAAUUUUUAAAUUUUAGAGGAUGGCUUUUUGAGAUUUGGGAUAGGCUGUGUUUUCGAACUGACCCAAAUUAUGAUUUGAAUAUUAUGAUAAAAGGGCAUGAUUUAAUGAUUUUGAUGGCUCUAUCUAUGUGCAAUCUGAUCUCAUUCAACAAAUUUAGAAAUGGCAACUAUGAGAUCCACAUAUAGUCUACUUGAGGAAUGAAGUAGAAAAGGAAUUUAAGUCGAAUUUUUAAACUUUGGAGGAUGGCCUUUUGAGUUUUGGAAUAGAGUAUGUGUUCUAAAUGAUCCAAUUAUCAAUAACCAAAUCCUGAAGCAGGGUAAUAAUUCAAAGUAUGUGAUAAUACGGAUUAGAUUGUUGAUUACAUUUUUAUUUUAUGGAUUUUAAGAAAAGCUCGCACCUCUUGUAAGUGAUAAUUUAGGGGGCGUGACAAAGGUGUUAUCGGAGCAUGAUUUAAGAUUUACUAAGAUAUUUGAUUCAUUUGAUGUGCAAAAUGAUAUAGAGGUUUAGGAAAGUCAUCUGGUCCUCUUGAGGAAUGAAGUAGGAAAGGUAGUGAAGUCGAAAUUUUAAAUUUUCGAGGAUGGCUUAUUGAGAUUUGGGAUUGAGUGUGUGUUCGAACUGACCCAAAUUAUGAUUUGAAUAGUAUGAUAAAAGGGCAUGACUUAAUGAUAUUGAUGACCUCUUUCUAUGUGCAAUCUGAUCUCUUUCAACAAAUUUAGAAACGGCAUCUAAGGGAUACACAUUUAAUCUACCUGACAAAUGAAGUAGAAAAGGGAUUGAAGUCGAAUUUUUAAAUUUUGGACGAUGGCCUUUUGUGUUUUGGGAUAUAGUAUGUUUUCUAAAUGACCCAAUUAUCAAUAACCAAAUCCUGAAGCAAAGUCAUAAUUCAAAGUAUGUGAUAAUUUGAGGAUCAGAUUGUUGAUUACAUUUUAAUUUUUUUGAUUUUCAGACAAGGUCACACCUCUUGUAUAUGAUAAUUUGGGGGGCGUGACAAAGGUGGUAUCGGAGCAUGAUUUAAGGAUUACUAAGAUAUUUGAUUCAUUUGAUGUUCAAAAUUAUAUUGAGGUUUAGUAAAUUAUAUAGAGAUCGAUGAAAAUUAUAUUUGAUGUCUUCUAGGAAUCUAGGAUGACAUCGACAUUUGGUCUUCUUGCUUAUGAAUUGUGGAUUAUGGGUGUGAAUUAUGACUUGAACGAUUUUUGGUGUCCCCAUAUUUAGUUUGGAUUUUGU